UACGAAGGUGGCAAGCGUUACUCGGAAUUACUAGGCGUAAAGGGCAGGUAGGUGGUUUGAUAAGUCUGUUGUGAAAGCUCCCGGCUUAACUGGGAGAGGUCAACAGAAACUAUCAGGCUUGAGUAUGGGAGAGGGUACUGGAAUUCCCGGUGUAGCGGUGAAAUGCGCAGAGAUCGGGAGGAACACCUAUGGCGAAAGCAGGUACCUGGACCAUUACUGACACUCAGCUGCGAAAGCUAGGGGAGCAAACAGG
rnacentral:rRNA from 1 species